rnacentral:lncRNA from 1 species
ACCCGUUAUCCUUACCCCCGACAGAUUAAACCCAAGGAAGAUUUAGACAUUAUUCACCACAUGAGUCCAUGGUAUGACUCGUACCCCGACUUAAGGCUAAUGGUGAGCCUCUCGUACUCAGAUCCAACCUAAGUAACCAAGUCUAAGAUUAAAUUAAGGAACCAAAUGAUCCGUACCAACCAAUAUGACUCAUAUCCCUAAGUCGUAUCAUUUCAAGUAAACAAAAUCCAUUCC